AUACUUACCUGGCAGGGGCGUUACCAUGAUCACAAAGGUGGUUUCUUCAGGGCGAGGCUCACCCAUUGCACUCCAGGUGUGCUGACCUCUGCGAUUUCCCCAAAUGUGGAAAACUCGACUGACUGCAUAAUUUAUGGUAAUGGGGGACUGCGUUUCCGCUCUCCCCAG